AACGCUGGCGGCGUGCCUAACACAUGCAAGUCGAACGAAGCAUAGCAAUAUGCUUAGUGGCGGACGGGUGAGUAACGCGUGAACAAUCUGCCCUGUACAAAGGAAUAGCCUCGGGAAACCGGGAUUAAAACCGUAUGACACUUUAGUAUCGCAUGAUAAGAAAGUCAAAUCGAAUAGAGGUAUGGGAUGAGUUCGCGUCUGAUUAGCUGGUUGGCGGGGUAACGGCCCACCAAGGCGACGAUCAGUAGCCGGCCUGAGAGGGUGAACGGCCACACUGGAACUGAGACACGGUCCAGACUCCUACGGGAGGCAGCAGUGGGGAAUAUUGCACAAUGGAGGGAACUCUGAUGCAGCGACGCCGCGUGAGUGAAGAAGGUCUUCGGAUCGUAAAACUCUGUCCUUGGUGAAGAAAAGGACGGUAGCCAAGGAGGAAGCCCCGGCUAACUACGUG
rnacentral:rRNA from 1 species